rnacentral:lncRNA from 1 species
UCCAUCAGCUUGGUCCUGGUGUAGGAGGAUCUGGGUAGCCAUUGGCUGAUGAUUGAUAGAAUAUUCCUGCCUGCCGAUCUCCACCUCAAUAGCACACCACUGGCAAGCGAUGGGGAAGCUAAGUGGCUCCAGAUAAAAUUCUUAGCUUCCCUAAAAUAAGUCAAGGCUGAGCCGCUCCUUUUUUCCCAGGCUUCACUGAAAGUUGAAGAGGAUGUCAUGGUCCAGAAAUAGCCUCCACAUUCCAACGAUAAACUGGCUCUCCAAAGGAUACAAGGUUUCCAGCACAAGUGGGUGAAGAUACUAUGGUGGGCGUUAGUCCACUGAAAACGACUCCAGAGGUUAUCGAUGGGAGCUUAAGUGAACCAUUGUGCAGGAUAAACAGGAGCUGCCACGUGAGUCUUCUGGAAUGUUAACAGCUUUGGUGGUGGUAGGGACCAGGGACUGGGAAGGUUCACGCCUUGCCCUGUCACACAGCAGUCCUUGAGAAACCACACAUCUCCAGGGUUCCCCCACCACUCGUGGGACCAAGUAUCAGUUUCUGCCUUGAACUCUGCUGGCCUCGUUUCCCAGGAGUCUCUGGCCACAAUACACUUCAGGACACUUCCGGACACUCUUCUGUUCUAUCCAACACCUACCGACUUUGUACACUCUCCUCCUUUGACCUACUAGGGGACUUGCAAAUCUCUGUGUCUCUGUGGCAUGGGCAUCAGGGCAGAAGAGAAACGCAGGGCACCAGGGAGGUGCGUUGGAACAGUGGGCAGAUGGUACA